rnacentral:rRNA from 1 species
AAAGGAAUAGACGGGGGCCCGCACAAGCAGUGGAGUAUGUGGUUUAAUUCGAAGCAACGCGAAGAACCUUACCAGGUCUUGACAUCCGACUAACGAAGCAGAGAUGCAUCAGGUGCCCUUCGGGGAAAGUCGAGACAGGUGGUGCAUGGUUGUCGUCAGCUCGUGUCGUGAGAUGUUGGGUUAAGUCCCGCAACGAGCGCAACCCUUGUUUUUAGUUGCUACGCAAGAGCACUCUAAAGAGACUGCCGUUGACAAAACGGAGGAAGGUAGGGACGACGUCAAAUCAUCAUGCCCUUUAUGACCUGGGCUACACACGUACUACAAUGGUCGCUAACAAAGGGAAGCAAUAUCGCGAGAUGGAGCAAAUCCCCAAAAGCGGUCUCAGUUCAGAUUGCAGGCUGCAACCCGCCUGCAUGAAGUAGGAAUUGCUAGUAAUCGCGGAUCAGCAUGCCGCGGUGAAUACGUUCCCGGGCCUUGUACACACCGCCCGU